rnacentral:rRNA from 1 species
GCCUACGGCCACACCACCCUGAAAACACCCGAUCUCGUCUGAUCUCGGAAGCUAAGCAGGGUCGGGCUCGGUUAGUACUUGGAUGGGAGACCGGCUGGGAAUCCCGGGUGCUGUAGGCU